GAUUAAAUGGCUGAAAUUAGGCAAUAGACUGUAAAUUUAUUUAUAAGAUUUAAAAUUCUUUUUAAUCA
rnacentral:tRNA from 1 species